AUUGGGCGUAAAGCGUCUGCAGGUUGAUAUAAAAGUCUUUUGUUAAAUAUCAGGGCUCAACCCGGAAUCUGCAAAAGAAACUAUAUAUCUUGAGUAUGGUAGAGGUAAGGGGAAUUUCCAGUGGAGCGGUGAAAUGCGUAGAUAUUGGAAAGAACACCGACAGCGAAGGCACCUUACUGGGCCAUUACUGACACUCAGAGACGAAAGCUAGGGGAGCAAACGGGAUUAGAUACCCCGGUAGUCCUAGCCGUAAGCGAUGGAUACUAGAUGUUGUAUACUUUAUGUACACAGUGUCGUAGCUAACGCGUUAAGUAUCCCGCCUGGGAAGUAUGCUCGCAAGGGUGAAACUUAAAGGAAUUGACGGGGGCCCGCACAAGCGGUGGAGCAUGUGGUUUAAUUCGAUGCAACGCGAAGAACCUUACCAGGACUUGACAUGAAGAGAAGUUUUUUGAAAGAAAAAUGUGCUACGGCCUCUUACACAGGUGGUGCAUGGCCGUCGUCAGCUCGUGUCGUGAGAUGUUGGGUUAAGUCCCGCAACGAGCGCAACCCUUGUUUCUAGUUGAUACUCUAGAAAGACUGCCGAUUAUAAAUCGGAGGAAGGUGAGGAUGACGUCAAGUCAUCAUGCCCCUUACGUCCUGGGCUACACACGUGCUACAAUGGGUGUGACAAUUAGUUGCCAACUCGUGAGAGUGAGCUAAUCUUUAAACACAUCCCUAGUUCAGAUUGUAGGCUGCAAC
rnacentral:rRNA from 1 species